CCUACGGGAGGCAGCAGUGGGGAAUAUUGGGCAAUGGGCGCAAGCCUGACCCAGCAACGCCGCGUGAAGGAAGAAGGCUUUCGGGUUGUAAACUUCUUUUCUCAGGGACGAAGAAAGUGACGGUACCUGAGGAAUAAGCCACGGCUAACUACGUGCCAGCAGCCGCGGUAAUACGUAGGUGGCAAGCGUUAUCCGGAUUUAUUGGGUGUAAAGGGCGUGUAGGCGGGAGCGCAAGUCAGAUGUGAAAACUCAGGGCUCAACCCUGAGCCUGCAUUUGAAACUGUGUUUCUUGAGUGCUGGGGAGGCAAUCGGAAUUCCGUGUGUAGCGGUGAAAUGCGUAGAUAUACGGAGGAACACCAGUGGCGAAGGCGGAUUGCUGGACAGUAACUGACGCUGAGGCGCGAAAGCGAGGGGAGCAAACAGGAUUAGAUACCCGAGUAGUC
rnacentral:rRNA from 1 species